CCUACGAGGGGCAGCAGUGAGGAAUAUUGGUCAAUGGGCGCGAGCCUGAACCAGCCAAGUCGCGUGAAUGAUGACUGCCCUACGGGUUGUAAACUUCUUUUAUAAAGGAAUAAAGUGAGGCACGUGUGCCUUUUUGUAUGUACUUUAUGAAUAAGGAUCGGCUAACUCCGUGCCAGCAGCCGCGGUAAUACGGAGGAUCCGAGCGUUAUCCGGAUUUAUUGGGUUUAAAGGGAGCGUAGGUGGGUUGUUAAGUCAGUUGUGAAAGUUUGCGGCUCAACCGUAAAAUUGCAAUUGAUACUGGCAGUCUUGAGUACAGCUGAGGUAGGCGGAAUUCGUUGUGUAGCGGUGAAAUGCUUAGAUAUCACGAAGAACUCCGAUUGCGAAGGCAGCUUACUAAACUGCCACUGACAUUGAUGCUCGAAAGUGUGGGUAUCAAACAGGAUUAGAUACCCGGGUAGUC
rnacentral:rRNA from 1 species